rnacentral:rRNA from 1 species
CUACGGGACGCUGCAGUGGGGAAUAUUGCACAAUGGGCGCAAGCCUGAUGCAGCCAUGCCGCGUGUAUGAAGAAGGCCUUCGGGUUGUAAAGUACUUUCAGCGGGGAGGAAGGGAGUAAAGUUAAUACCUUUGCUCAUUGACGUUACCCGCAGAAGAAGCACCGGCUAACUCCGUGCCAGCAGCCGCGGUAAUACGGAGGGUGCAAGCGUUAAUCGGAAUGACUGGGCGUAAAGCGCACGCAGGCGGUUUGUUAAGUCAGAUGUGACAUCCCCGGGCUCAACCUGGGAACUGCAUCUGAUACUGGCAAGCUUGAGUGUCGUAGAGGGGGGUAGAAUUCCAGGUGUAGCGGUGAAAUGCGUAGAGAUCUGGAGGAAUACCGGUGGCGAAGGCGGCCCCCUGGACGAAGACUGACGCUCAGGUGCGAAAGCGUGGGGAGCAAACAGGAUUAGAUACCCGUGUAGUC